rnacentral:rRNA from 1 species
CCUACGGGAGGCAGCAGUGAGGAAUAUUGGUCAAUGGGCGCGAGCCUGAACCAGCCACGCAGCGUGAAGGAUGACUGCCCUCCGUGUUGUAAACUUCUUCUAUAAAGGAAUAAUGUGAGCCACGCGUGCCUCUUUGUAUGUACUUUAUGAAUAAGGAUCGGCUAACCCCGUGCCAGCAGCCGCGGUAAUACGGAGGAUCCGAGUGUUAUCCGGAUUUAUUGGGUGUAAAGGGAGCGUAGAUGGGUGGGUAAGUCAGUUGUGAAAGUUUGCGGCUAAACCGUAAAAUUGCAAUUGAUACUGGCAGCCUUGAGUACAGUUGAGGUAGGCGGAAUUCGUGGUGUAGCGGUGAAAUGCUUAGAUAUCACGAAGAACUCCGAUUGCGAAGGCAGCCUACUAAACUGCCACUGACAUUGAUGCUCGAAAGUGUGGGGAGCAAACAGGAUUAGAUACCCCUGUAGUC